rnacentral:rRNA from 1 species
CCUACGGGAGGCAGCAGUAGGGAAUAUUGCACAAUGGGGGAAACCCUGAUGCAGCAACGCCGCGUGAAGGAAGACGGUUUUCGGAUUGUAAACUCCUGCACUUAGUGCAGAAUAAUGACGGUAGCACAGGAGCAAGCCACGGCUACCUAGGGGCCAGCAGCCGCGGAAAUACGAAGGUGGCAAGCGUUGUCCGGAAUUAUUGGGUGUAAAGGGACCGCAGGCGGGAAGCCAAGUCAGCUGUUAAAGCUACGGGCUUAACUUGUAGACUGCAAUUGAUACUGGCAGGCUUGAGUACAGUUGAGGUAGAGGGAAUUCGUGGUGUAGCGGUGAAAUGCUUAGAUAUCACGAAGAACUCCGAUUGCGAAGGCAGCUUACUAGACUGCCAUUGACAUUGAUGCUCGAAAGUGUGGGUAUCAAACAGGAUUAGAUACCCUGGUAGUC